rnacentral:tRNA from 1 species
GGUAGCAUGGCCGAACGGUUUAAGGCGCUGGUUUAAGGCACCAGUCAUUUCGAUGGCGUGGGUUCGAAUCCCACUGCUGCCA